UAAAAGUGUCUAUGAGGAAUUUUAUGAGAAGUUUCAGCUUAUUCUCAACAAUCCUGGAAUGAGACCGAAAAUCAACUCAACCUAUCCAACACGAAUCAACAUUUCAAUAAGCAUUCAUGAGAUACUUGGAUUGAAUGAGAAGGCACAUAUCCUUACAACCUUUCUUUGGGUAAAACAGCUUUGGGUGAAUGAAUUCCUGAUGUGGGAGCCUGCAGAGCUUCAGGGCAUGCAACAUCUU